rnacentral:rRNA from 1 species
GACGAACGCUGGCGGCGUGCCUAAUACAUGCAAGUAGAACGCUGAAGGAGGAGCUUGCUUCUCUGGAUGAGUUGCGAACGGGUGAGUAACGCGUAGGUAACCUGCCUGGUAGCGGGGGAUAACUAUUGGAAACGAUAGCUAAUACCGCAUAACAGUAGAUACCGCAUGAUAUCUACUUGAAAGGUGCAAUUGCAUCACUACCAGAUGGACCUGCGUUGUAUUAGCUAGUUGGUGAGGUAACGGCUCACCAAGGCGACGAUACAUAGCCGACCUGAGAGGGUGAUCGGCCACACUGGGACUGAGACACGGCCCAGACUCCUACGGGAGGCAGCAGGAGGGAAUCUUCGGCAAUGGACGGAAGUCUGACCGAGCAACGCCGCGUGAGUGAAGAAGGUUUUCGGAUCGUAAAGCUCUGUUGUAAGAGAAGAACGAGUGUGAGAGUGGAAAGUUCACACUGUGACGGUAUCUUACCAGAAAGGGACGGCUAACUACGUG